CGAGCUCCUUCUCAGGCCUUCCGCAAUCCCCGACUCCCCUCCCCCAACGCCAACACGCCGCCGCCGCUCCCCUCCCUCUGUUCCUCCCUCGGAUUCUAGAAUAAUGACCAUCUCCCGCCGCCGCAGUCCAUAGUAACAACACCCUGCAUAUCCUCUCCACUCUCUCUCGUCCUGCGCUGCGCAAUCGCCAAUCGGGAGGCCACACCGACGAGGAAGCAGGGCAACGAAGAUGGUCCGGGAGGUUGCGGAGAGCUGCGUCGACGGGGUGGUCAUGGAGAUGGUCGCGGCCUACUGCGGCCGCUUCUACGCCGCCAAGCCCGAGCUCGCUGCCCGCCGCAUCGAGGCCAUCGGUUUCCAGGUCGGCCACCAGCUCUCCGAGAGAUAUACCAUGGAGCGCCCUCGAUUUAGUGAUCAUCUUGAAGCAAUCAAAUUUAUCUGCAAAGACUUUUGGUCAGAGCUGUUCAAGAAGCAGAUUGAUAAUCUGAAAACAAAUCACAGGGGUACCUUUGUCCUUCAAGAUAACCGUUUCCGGUGGCUUACUCGUGUUUCUCUAGAUCCAUCUGCAGAGAGCACAGAUGCAACUGACAAUGACUCUGCACCAUUGGGUGAUACUGCAGCCCAAACAACAAGCAUGCUUCUGUAUUUCCCAUGCGGGUUAAUAAGAGGUGCCUUGACCAACUUAGGAAUUUCGUGCUCCGUCUCUGCAGAUAUGUCAAACCUUCCAGCAUCUUUGUCUUUGCAAAACUUAUCGUGUGUCGCUUGAAAUUUGGUGUACUCAUUCUUCAACAAACCUUCGCACUGCAUAGCAUACAACUGUGUUCUUCUGAGAAGCACGAGCAACACGAGCUGAUGUAACAGAACCCAAACUCAGACAAGGAGAAGGCGUUUACGCUGAAUGCGCAGAAGGCGGGCUCCCAGUGCUGGAACCGAGGUUCCUUUGUGGUGCGCAUAAAGACAUGAACUGUGAGAAAUGAUACAAGUACAAUGUUGAAGUGCUAGCUUAUGGUUCAAGUCAUUUGACACCUACCGGUUUUCAGUGUCUCGGAAUGACUUUUCCUUCUUCCCUUCAUAACCUUAUUCCAGAGAUCGGGUGUAACUCUUAUGUGAUUUUUUUCAUCUAUCAAAGUGGAGCACUUUCAUGUUCCUUUUGUAUAAAUCAUAUUUGGAUGUAGUCAAUCAUAGGUCCUGUUUGAAAUUCAGGAACGUACGAAUCCUACAUGAAUUGAAGUGUUUACUCUGAAGUUCUCGUUAAAUGUGUAUGCUUUCAGACAGGCUAUCAGAAUCCUGGUGGAGCUAUCCGUGAAGGGACUGUAGGUUUUGCUUGGGCAACACUUGGUGCAGCCACAAAUACCAACUAUGGGCAACACAGUAUGAACGUCAUCAUCAUAAUCUACUAACUGUGCGACAGAGUAUGAACGUCAUCAACUCAUCAUUUGUAAGAUAUUUAGUUUAAUUAUCUUGUCCUCAGUGUCAUUUAGAAUGGAAAAAAUAUUUGCUAAGACCGUUUUAAGACAUUUGUUUAAUUAUCUAAUCCUAAGUGUUAUUUUAAAAUAGAGAAAAUGUAUGCUAAGACAUUGGUUUAUGCUAUGACAGUUGACUCCCUUUAUUCUGA